UAGUCAGAUUAUUGUUAAUAUUUAUGCAUUAAAGCUAUAAUGUUAUAGACCACAUUGUCUUACUAUUAUUCCAUACAAUUCUUAUGGUAAAAUACAGGUUAAAAAGCCAAGAAGAUGGACCUAGUCUACAACUUUGAGCAGAACUGAAAGGCUGAUUGAAAUGAAAAGAGUCCACAUAGACAGGUAUAUAUCCCAAGAAGUGGGAUACAGUGUGCACCAUGUCAGCAGAACUUCAAAAGGGACUGAAAUCAUAUUCAGUGCAUAUAAAGUUCUUUCAGGGAUCUUAUAUGCUCGCACCACCCGAAGCUUAAGAGCCUGCCUGGUAUUCAUGGGAGAUAUCUGGCUAGCAAGAACAAACAUUUUUUGCUAUUCAAGAAGAAUCAGAGAGGCUUUGUAGAGGGAGAUUGUAUUUUGUAUUAAUAGUUGUACAUGCGUUGUAUAUAUAAGGUCUGAUGACCUUCGUUAUUGAUCGUAACCAUCCUGAUCAAUAAAUACCUAGAGAAUAGGUAUGGGUUAGUGGGCUCAAUGUCCGAUAUGAACAAUUGAUUACCUUAAAUACAUUCUCUAAUCCCAUUGGAUGAGAGAAUGAUUUGGGUAGAUAUAUUGAAAAAAUUAGGUUUCCUAUAUA